UGGUAGUGUCUACCUGUGAUCCCAGC
rnacentral:piRNA from 1 species